rnacentral:rRNA from 1 species
CCUACGGGUGGCAGCAGUGAGGAAUAUUGGUCAAUGGACGAGAGUCUGAACCAGCCAAGUAGCGUGAAGGAUGACUGCCCUAUGGGUUGUAAACUUCUUUUAUAUGGGAAUAAAAUGUUCCACGUGUGGGUUUUUGUAUGUACCAUAUGAAUAAGGAUCGGCUAACUCCGUGCCAGCAGCCGCGGUAAUACGGAGGAUCCGAGCGUUAUCCGGAUUUAUUGGGUUUAAAGGGAGCGUAGGUGGGUUGUUAAGUCAGUUGUGAAAGUUUGCGGCGCAACCGUAAAAUUGCAGUUGAUACUGGCAGUCUUGAGUACAGUAGAGGUGGGCGGAAUUCGUGGUGUAGCGGUGAAAUGCUUAGAUAUCACGAAGAACUCCGAUUGCGAAGGCAGCUCACUGGACUGCAACUGACACUGAGGCUCGAAAGUGUGGGUAUCAAACAGGAUUAGAUACCCCUGUAGUC